GCUACGGGAGGCAGCAGUGAGGAAUAUUGGUCAAUGGACGCAAGUCUGAACCAGCCAUGCCGCGUGCAGGAAGACGGCUCUAUGAGUUGUAAACUGCUUUUGUACGAGGGUAAACGCAGAUACGCGUAUCUGUCUGAAAGUAUCGUACGAAUAAGGAUCGGCUAACUCCGUGCCAGCAGCCGCGGUAAUACGGAGGAUUCAAGCGUUAUCCGGAUUUAUUGGGUUUAAAGGGUGCGUAGGCGGGAUGCCAAGUCAGCGGUAAAAAUGCGGUGCUCAACGCCGUCGAGCCGUGGAAGCUGGCGUUCUUGAGUGGGCGAGAAGUAUGCGGAAGGCGUGGUGUAGCGGUGAAAUGCAUAGAUAUCACGCAGAACUCCGAUUGCGAAGGCAGCAUACCGGCGCCCUACUGACGCUGAGGCACGAAAGCGUGGGUAUCGAACAGGAUUAGAUACCCGGGUAGUC
rnacentral:rRNA from 1 species